UCCGCCGGAAGUUCUCGGAGGAGUUCCGGGGCACAGACGGCCUCCGCGCUUCCGGUAUCCAGAGCUUCCAGAGUUAAGUGCUGUUUCUCGGCGCUGGAGUGGCCGCGCCGCUGCCGAGAUCAUGGUGUUCUACUUCACCAGCAGCAGCGUUAACUCAGCUGCCUACACUAUUUACAUGGGAAAAGAUAAAUAUGAAAAUGAAGAUCUGAUAAAGUAUGGCUGGCCUGAGGAUAUUUGGUUUCAUGUGGACAAACUCUCUUCGGCUCAUGUAUACCUUCGAUUACAUAAGGGGGAGAAAAUAGAAGACAUUCCCAAGGAAGUACUGAUGGACUGUGCCCAUCUUGUGAAGGCCAAUAGCAUUCAAGGCUGCAAGAUGAACAACGUUAAUGUGGUGUACACACCGUGGUCUAACCUGAAGAAAACGGCUGACAUGGAUGUGGGACAGAUAGGCUUCCACAGGCAGAAGGAUGUGAAAAUUGUGACAGUGGAGAAGAAAGUGAAUGAGAUCCUGAACCGCUUAGAAAAGACCAAAAUGGAGCGCUUCCCAGACCUGGAGGCAGAGAAAGAGUGCAGAGACCGCGAAGAGAGGAACGAGAAGAAAGCCCAGAUUCAGGAAAUGAAAAGGAGGGAAAAGGAAGAGAUGAAAAAGAAGAGGGAGAUGGACGAACUUAGGUGUGAGACCCUGGCCAGCGUCCUUAAGUCUGGUGUGCACAGUGGGCGUGAUACCAUCCCUGCCUUGUGAGGUGGCUGUGGGGAUGAGCAAUAACUUAGGAAGCACCUGAUACAGGUCCUGCCAGGUAAAGGAUGCUUGGUAAAUGAGCUAUUCAUCACUAAUGAAAGUUGAGAACAUGUCUUCAAAUCAGGACGGCAAUGAUUCAGAUGAAUUCAUGUGAAUGGAGAAAAGGACCUUUUAAAGAUUUAGGGACAGUUGCAGAAGUUGUGAUUUCAUCUAUGUUCUGAAUUAUAAAAAAAAAACAUCCAACCAAAAUUCUACCUUCACAAUAUUCUACAAAUGUUAUCAACUUCGGAAUUUUAAAAAAAUUGUUCCCUUUUUCGCCAUCAGAAAAGGAUCAGGUAAAUAUAUGUAUAUACACACACACAUAAUAUAGUUGGACUUGAAGACAGCAUAUAACUUUGGGAAGGUGAAAAUCUUUUUGCCAGAACAUAUCUUGGUACCUUGUGAAAGUUGGCUGCCCUUAUUCUUGGAAUAGACUUUAGAACAAACCGACUCUGAAAAGUAUUUCUGUUCCUGUGAUCUGUCCCUGAAAACAUACGUCUUGAAAAGCUUUUCAUAUUCUUAAAAUAGCUUCUUUUCUGUUAAGACGAAUGUAUUGGUGAACAUUAUAAGCGAAUGUUCCCCUCACCUCCAGUUUCCUGAUUCGAAGAAUAAAAGCGUGUGGGUUUUGAAGGUAAUAGUGAUAUUUUCAAGGCUGCUGGCUUCAAUAGUCAUGUUCCAUUCGGCCAUCUGAGUCUGUUUGUGUAGUUGCCCUCAGCUUGUCCUCGCUUCCACAGUCUACAUCUUUCCUUUUCCAUUGAGGGCCUCCACCUAGGUACCAUCAUACUGAAAAGAACAGCAGUGUUAGUCAAGGUUGGGCCUCAUGGCAUUUUUUACCUGAGCACCGAGUAACCCAUGCCGUGUGUAUAACAACUUCCGGGCUCUGGAGUCAUCUCUCAGCACUGAGGGGAGAAACAAAGGGACGCUCUGAAUCAUUGUGAAGACAGAGGUUACCAGAUUUUUGUCUUGGGAUAUAUCAUAAAUCACAAGUCUCCUUUGCAAUUAUGAUUUUAGAAAGAAUUAAGCAUUUCACUAGCCAGCCCAGUAAUUGGUUUAUUUACCUUGAAAUAAUAUUUAUUUUGAGUUGUAACCCCAGAGUUCAGAUUUCUCCAUUGUAGCUUCAGUAACUUAAUAUGUAACAGUCCUACUCAUCUGAACCACCUGCUCUCCAGUGUGAUUCUGAAUAGAAGAUAUAUUUUUAUUAUAGCCUGUAAGCCAAACCCUGUGGAAAGAGACAAAACAAAACAAUGGCAGGGAAAGAACAAAGCCUGCAGGUCGGGAGGAGACUCACGGGUUCACAUUUUAACCACACCCAGAGCUCUGCACGGAGCAUUCUUAACUGUUUUCUAACCCAGCAGAAGUGACCUCCUCCAAUAGAUACUCUUCCUGUAGCACUUCGGAACGGUGGGUACAACCACAAGACUUCAGUGUCUCUGCUUAUCCCAGGUUGGUGUUUGGGGUUGAACUGGAAAAUUUCCUGAGACAUAACUCGGCCAAAUUUUGAGAGGGGUUAUGGGAGACCACUCCAGAAAUGAGUGAUUUUCUGUGUAUAUGUCUAAUGAUAUUCAGCCUGGAGUUUUGUGGUUUGAGAAUGGAAUAAUAAAGAAUGAUUUUUUUAUCUGGGAGGGCAAUGA